ensembl:snRNA U6 U6 spliceosomal RNA
UUGCUUCCAAAGCACACAUACUAAAAUUGGAACAGUACAGAGAAGAUUAACAUGACCCGUGUGCAAAUUUGUGAAGAGUUCCAUAUUUUU